UAGCUCAGUCGGUAGAGCAGUUGACUUUUAAUCAAUUGGUCACAGGUCCGAGCCGAGCGAAGCGAGACAGCGUUGUGCGAAGUACAACGACCCGCAGGGCGAGGCAAUAGGCCGAGUUAUCCUGUACGAUCCCACCA
rnacentral:tRNA from 1 species